GGAACUGUAUGAAACAUGGCAACCGCUUGCGUAAAGCGUGGACGUAUGCAUAACCCGGUGUAUUAGGGGUUUACGAGCGUCAAAGAUUUUUAUUUA